rnacentral:rRNA from 1 species
CUGGGCUCGAACGGCUUUGGAUCGACGGUGGAAACACUGUUUUCCCGCAAGGGACCGGAGUCGAGGUGCUGCAUGGCUGUCGUCAGCUCGUGUCGUGAGAUGUUGGGUUAAGUCCCGCAACGAGCGCAACCCUUGUCCUGUGUUGCCACUCCGCAAGGAAGCACUCUCAGGAGACCGCCAGCGAUAAGUUGGAGGAAGGUGGGGAUGAUGUCAAGUCAUCAUGGCCUUUAUGUCCAGGGCUACACACGUGCUACAAUGGUCGGUACAAAGCGCUGCAAACCCGCGAGGGGGAGCCAAUCGCAAAAAACCGACCUCAGUUCGGAUUGCAGGCUGCAACUCGCCUGCAUGAAGCUGGAAUCGCUAGUAAUGCCGUAUCAGAAUGAUGGCGUGAAUACGUUCCC